ACCUCUGGGCCUGUGGUGGGAGGGACUGAGGAAGAUCUCUGAAAUGCCCUGGAGACAUUUUCCCUACUGUCUUGACACGUGUCCCAAGCAGCCCUCCUUGGCAAAUCUACAUUUCCUUACCCAACCAGGACCUGUGGCAAACAGUCUGGCCUCUCCUUGUCCUAAUUCCAAAGUUCAGGAAUCUGACUGGCCCAGCCUGGCCUCUAGAGUGGUUGCCUGUGAGUCAGGUACCUGCUUCUGCCCCAGUUAACUGGACAAGGAGGCUGGGCUGCAUAGAAGAACCAAGGACCCAGGAGACUCCCUGGGCUUGUGGGCUGAGCAGGUACCUACUGAAGAAACCUGAAGAAAACUGAAGAAACCUACUUCAGUUUGGCCGGUCCUGGGGACUAGGAGCAGGCCAGGUGGGCCACGUUUCUGCCCAGUCAUUUCCCAGUGCUGAGCUUCUUCAGGGAACCUACCUUCCGUCUUCCCACCCUGACCCACUGAGAAACCUCAAGCUUUGGACUUGUCCAUGCUGCCCUCUAACCCUAGAUCACAGUUCUGAGUGUGAAUACUGCCAGCCCAGAAGAGAACAUUCAUGCUGGAUGCAGUGGCUCACACCUGUAAUCCCAG
rnacentral:lncRNA from 10 species